GCCUGUGUGGCUCAGUGGUUGAGCCUCAACCUAUGAACCAGGAGGUCCCGGGUUCGAUUCCUGGUCAAGGGCA
rnacentral:tRNA from 1 species